rfam:Streptomyces rimosus subsp. rimosus ATCC 10970 contig00055, whole genome shotgun sequence.
CUUGACGGAGCCGAGCAGCAGCGGGCGCUCGGGGUCGCGGUCCCGGCCGUACGUGGCCUGCAGGGCCUGCGCCUC